rnacentral:piRNA from 1 species
UGAUACAGUUGUGUAUUGCCACACCCA